AACGCCGCGUGGGGAGUGAAGGCCUUCGGUUGUAAACCCUUUCAGUGGGAACGAAACUGACGGUACCACAGAAGA
rnacentral:rRNA from 1 species